rnacentral:rRNA from 1 species
UACAGAGGAUGCAAGCGUUAUCCGGAAUGAUUGGGCGUAAAGCGUCUGUAGGUGGCUUUUUAAGUCCGCCGUCAAAUCCCAGGGCUCAACUCUGGACAGGCGGUGGAAACUACCAAGCUGGAGUACGGUAGGGGCAGAGGGAAUUUCCGGUGGAGCGGUGAAAUGCGCAGAUAUCAGGAGGAACACCGGUGGCGAAGGCGGGUCUCUGGGCAGUAACUGACGCUGAGGAGCGAAAGCGUGGGGAGCGAACAGG